rnacentral:rRNA from 1 species
UGCGUAGGCGGGCUAAUAAGUCAGUCGUGAAAUCUUCCGGCUCAACCGGGAACCUGCCAUUGAUACUGUUAAUCUUGAGUUCGGUUGAGGUAGGCGGAAUGUGUAAUGUAGCGGUGAAAUGCUUAGAUAUUACACAGAACACCAAUUGCGUAGGCAGCUUACUAGACCGACACUGACGCUGAGGCACGAAAGCGUGGGGAGCGAACAGGAUUAGAUACCCUGGUAGUCC